GACGAACGCUGGCGGCGUGCUUAACACAUGCAAGUCGAACGGAAAGGCCCUGCUUUUGUGGGGUGCUCGAGUGGCGAACGGGUGAGUAACACGUGAGUAACCUGCCCUUGACUUUGGGAUAACUUCAGGAAACUGGGGCUAAUACCGGAUAGGAGCUCCUGCUGCAUGGUGGGGGUUGGAAAGUUUCGGCGGUUUGGGAUGGACUCGCGGCUUAUCAGCUUGUUGGUGGGGUAGUGGCUUACCAAGGCUUUGACGGGUAGCCGGCCUGAGAGGGUGACCGGCCACAUUGGGACUGAGAUACGGCCCAGACUCCUACGGGAGGCAGCAGUGGGGAAUAUUGCACAAUGGGCGGAAGCCUGAUGCAGCAACGCCGUGUGCGGGAUGACGGCCUUCGGGUUGUAAACCGCUUUCGCCUGUGACGAAGCGUGAGUGACGGUAAUGGGUAAAGAAGCACCGGCUAACUACGUG
rnacentral:rRNA from 1 species